CGCGGCCUAUCAGCUUGUUGGUGGGGUAGUGGCUUACCAAGGCUUUGACGGGUAGCCGGCCUGAGAGGGUGACCGGCCACAUUGGGACUGAGAUACGGCCCAGACUCCUACGGGAGGCAGCAGUGGGGAAUAUUGCACAAUGGGCGGAAGCCUGAUGCAGCAACGCCGCGUGCGGGAUGACGGCCUUCGGGUUGUAAACCGCUUUCGCCUGUGACGAAGCGUGAGUGACGGUAAUGGGUAAAGAAGCACCGGCUAACUACGUGCCAGCAGCCGCGGUGAUACGUAGGGUGCGAGCGUUGUCCGGAUUUAUUGGGCGUAAAGGGCUCGUAGGUGGUUGAUCGCGUCGGAAGUGUAAUCUUGGGGCUUAACCCUGAGCGUGCUUUCGAUACGGGUUGACUUGAGGAAGGUAGGGGAGAAUGGAAUUCCCGGUGGAGCGGUGGAAUGCGCAGAUAUCAGGAGGAACACCAGUGGCGAAGGCGGUUCUCUGGGCCUUUCCUGACGCUGAGGAGCGAAAGCGUGGGGAGCGAACAGGCUUAGAUACCCUGGUAGUCCACGCUGUAAACGGUGGGUACUAGGUGUGGGGUCCAUUCCACGGGUUCCGUGCCGUAGCUAACGCUUUAAGUACCCCGCCUGGGGAGUACGG
rnacentral:rRNA from 1 species